rnacentral:rRNA from 1 species
UACAGAGGUGGCAAGCGUUGUUCGGAAUUACUGGGCGUAAAGGGCGCGUAGGCGGUCUUGCAAGUCCUGUGUGAAAUCCCUCGGCUCAACUGAGGAACUGCACAGGAAACUGCUUGGCUUGAGUUCGGGAGAGGGAAGCGGAAUUCCGGGUGUAGCGGUGAAAUGCGUAGAUAUCCGGAGGAACACCGGUGGCGAAGGCGGCUUCCUGGACCGACACUGACGCUGAGGCGCGAAAGCGUGGGGAGCAAACGGG